CCAAACUUGGUCAUUUAGAGGAAGUAAAAGUCGUAACAAGGUCUCCGUUGGUGAACCAGCGGAGGGAUCAUUAUAGAGUUCUGAAAAGACUCCCAAACCCAUGUGGAACAUACCUCUCGUUGCCUCGGCAGGUCGCGCCUACCCGGUAUCUCUUACCCUGUAAGACCUACCCUGUCGGUGCGUACACAGCCUGCCGGCGGACCAACAAAACGCUGUUUGACACUUGAUUUCUGACAUUAUAACCUAAUAAGUUAAAACUUUCAACAACGGAUCUCUUGGUUCUGGCAUCGAUGAAGAACGCAGC
rnacentral:misc_RNA from 1 species